rnacentral:siRNA from 1 species
CUUGUUCAUUUUAUGUUUAGGU